rnacentral:lncRNA from 1 species
UAUGAUUGGCUGGUUAGUACAAUCGUACUUCAGCAUAAUAUUGUGUUAAGCCUGCCAGCCUGUGUUACCCUGUAAUUAAAAUUCCAAUUUAAAAUAGCAUGGUAAGAAAAGAAAAACAUGACUAUAAUCGUAAACAUACCAUACCUACAGCUGUCAGCAGAAAACUAAGGACUAAUAUCAACUACCGCAUAAGUUUAAGCAUAUAACAGAAACACAGAUAUAAGUGACAAUGAAUUGCCUCCUGUGAUCUACUGUAGUCCAAAACUACUAUUUGUUAGUUGGUAGGAGGUUUAUAUUUAAUUUGCUUAAAAUUAAUGGGUCAACAUGUAGCAAACUAGUAAUCUGAAAGUUCAGUACUUGUAGAUAGAAAAUCAUGAAUCCCAUGAGUGUACAGCACGAAGAAAAAAUAAAACUGAAUGAAUUCAAAAGUUUUGGGUGCCCUUGAGUUUUUACCUGCUAGUACUUGAUAUAUUUCCUUCUUACGCCAAAUGUAUUCUUGAACAGUCUAUCUUCUAUGGCGGUGUUGACAUUCACGAUAGACACAGGGACAUGCGCCUUGACAUUGACAAUAUGUCCUAUGAGGUUUGUGUUCCUUAGUGAAGCAUUACCUGCACCUUUGCGAAUCUAAAAUCUAAUCUAAGAUGGUUGCCCUACUUUCAGGAGCUAUUAGCACUCGAGGAAAGAAUAGGAAAUGUCGGCACUGGCCUCAGCGAGGAAGCUGUGAUAAGGUUGCUCAAACAAAGGAAAUUUUCAUCUUGGACACUAAAAGCAUCUUUGGACCCUGAACCAUGUUGUAUCUGCCAGGUAUUUCAUAUACUCCCGAGCAUCUCAGAAUCAUGGCUUGUUCUUUUGCCGUAGGUAGAUACACCAAUCGCAUUGAAUGAUUGAAUUGGGCAUUCAGGUGUUUUUGGUUCACAUAUUUGUAGCGUGAACGGUAAUCGGUAACGUUAAACCAUGUUUGUUUAAGUCCAACCGUAAUCGAAUACCACACUAGAAAUUGAUACCGUCCUAUUCAAACUUGUUACCGAUGGUAAUCGAGUGUAAAUCAUUACCGUUGCCAUUUAUGUUACAUUUCGUGAACCAAACGGCACCUCAGUUAGGUCACCUAGGCCAUCAUCACGUGUACAAAGCAAUGCAGCACUUAACUAAAUUGGCCCACAAAUAUUAGAAGGGCAAGUUAAGUCUAAAAGUUGCUAAGCUUGUCUACUUAUACCAUCUAGGCCUCCAAUGGAGAAUCAUACCCUGGUAGGUCUCUGGAUUUCUACAAAUUAACGGUUUGAAAUGGUAGAACUAAGAAUAUUUGUCUCAUCCCUUGAGAUUUCCAUGCUAUUGAUCUUGGUUCCUAGUGUCUCAGGAAAGAAUUACAAUCCGACUCUAGCAUGACUUCCAUCGGAUCACUAAAAAAGACUACUUAGGCCUUGUUCGUUUACAUCGGAUUGUACCCGGAAUCGUUCCGAUUAAUCAAAGUUUAUAUAAAUUAUAGAAGCAAUCCGGCUCGGAAUUAUUCCGACCCACCAAUCCGACACAAACGAACAAGCCCUUAAGGUGAUAGUGUAGAGGACUAGGCAUAAUGCGUGCGUUUAAUUUGCACGGAACCUUUCAGGGAAAAAAAUAUUUAGUUCAGAGGGUUGGAGGGCAAGAUGCCUCUCGGGAUACAUAUGUCAGUACGAGAUUACAAUGUCCUAACGGCCAAAUAUACUCAACACUGUUAACCUUUUUUAUAGGGUGGCUAAUAAAAAAUAACAUCAACUCUGGCAACAAAACCUGUAGCAUAGAACUGUCUAUUUAAUCAGGAUUUCCAUUGUCGAUGUAAAUCAUGUACUACACUAGUAUCUGUUAUCUGAUGUGAAUUUAAUUCCUUUUUGCCUAUGAACAUGUCCCAGCGUCAGCUAUAGAGCAAUGAAAUUAGCAGUUGAACGAGGCUAAUAUAUAUACCUACCUUAUGUCCUUUUUAUCCCUGUCCAGGAGGAGUACGCUGAUGGAGACGACCUCGGGAGGCUGGACUGCGGGCACGACUUCCAUGCUGGCUGCAUCAAGCAAUGGCUGGUGGUGAAGAACGUGUGCCCCAUCUGCAAGAGCACCGCAUUGAAGAAGACCUGAAACCCGAACGAAGGCUCGUGUCAGAGACACCCCCCCCCCCCCCCCCCCCCCAUGUUUCUAUGUUCACUCGACGGUUCGCGAGAUCAUUUGCCGAUUCGUAUUGCUACGCUUUUUUUUGUUGGUCGGGAAAAUUUUGCUGCCACUCACCUGCAAUUGGGAAAGGAAAAGAGAGAGAAACAGAGAGAGAGAGAGGAUGCGGUUGCGGUCCUCUGUAAACUGCUGCUGCAGUAAAUAAUCCCUGGAAUAUGUCUCCCCUGCAUUCAACCAAAUAUUUAGUAGCUGUUAUAGUGGACGUCGUAGGAUUAAAACCUUGGAAGAGAGCCUGUUGCCCACCACCUGCCAUAAUUAUGUUCGAUCCGGAUUUCAAUUUUCCACGUGCUGUCCUGUCGUGCUGCUGCAGUGCGGACGGAAACCCAUCGCGGAUGGCGCCAGUGUUUUUUUUUUUGCAGGAAGCACGCUGCUCUGCCUCUGCGUUCAGGUUCAACAACUUGUCUGAACUCAACAAGACAACAAUCCAAGGCAACGGUUUGGAUGGAUCCCAUGCGUUCGUUACUUGUGCUUGUGCAUCUGUUCCUUGUCGGCGUCAGGCGCCGGCCGUGCCGCGAGAACGAAACCGGCACGCAACUCCUCGCCCGGCAGCGGCGCCGGCGGCCCGUCGCUGUCCACCCAUGAAUCCAUCCAGGGCAGCAGUCGUCGUUCUUCUCGUCCUGUGGCUGGCUAACAACAAGCUCUGAGCGAGGGCUUGCGUCGUGAGCACACCACACGCUGGCGGCGCGAUCGAUCUGAUGGGUACCCGCCGCCGGCAGGGGAGCAGUCAGUGGUGCGGUGUCCUGUAUAAUCGGCGGCAGGGGAGGGUACCGUCUCGCCUCGCAUUUACUGCAAGGUGUGGCUGGCUGCCGUAGAUCUAAAAACUUGCGUAGCUGGGGCAGUUAAAUGGGCUCAGACGCUGGGGCUUUGGCUCCUGAAGUCCUGAUAGCCCAGAAGUGCUGCUGUCGGCAACCGUGUGGUCGAAAUCCGACGGCUGGGAGAUUUGAGAACACGACGGCGGAUUUUGUGGGCGGCUGACGGGACGGCGGCGCUCGCAGCUCCUGAUGAGUGCUGAGGGAUGCCGUGUGAUGCCUGUAUAAAGGGCGGCGAUGGCGAUGCACACAAACGGAAGCUUCAGGUGGAGGAACGAUUCUGAAGCGCAUAAUCUAUCUGAUCAGGUUGAAUUUGAGGAUCAAUCGAAUGUGAAUCAAGUUUUUUCUGCUUGCAAGAAUGAUUCACCGUUUGAAUUUGUCGCUUUGAGGAGCGUGAAAAUCAAACAUACUCCUGUGAUGUUUCGUUGGAAUUCCGGGAGAAAUCAUACCUCAAAUCCAUGGAAAAUCCAUGGAGACAUGAUUCCUUCAUGGAUCACGCCACCCCGGGGUGACGCUGUAUUACCUCAAUUUCGGGAAUCUAGGGGGUGUGUUGUGGAAAAAUGUAAGGUGAUGAACAAGAAUAAUGAAAAAGCUGAGGGGCUUUGGGGAAAAAACCUGAAUCAGGUAUAUUGUGGAUUGGAAAGGCUGAAUCGGCUCAUUUAUCCUCUCCGCAAAACCCUAAAUCGCCUACUUACGGAUCUUCUCCUGUGUUCGCCCCAAAACCACAAAUCGAAAGAUUUGUUGGGCAUUUCUGGGGGAGAUCUCAGAGAUCUUAUGCUAGUGUGGUGAAAACUAAGAGAGCUCCGAUCGUUGCUGUGAAGAUACAACCAAGAGGAGCUGGUCGGCAUGGAGCUGCGCGCGGUUAUGGUCGUGGUUCUGGUCGCGAUCAUGUCUGGAGGCGUAUCGAAGAUGGUGAUGUUCAGAAUCAAAGAGGUGGUCGCAGUAUUGAGGAGGUGAAUAUGGGAGAGGGGGGUGACACCUUGAAUCAAGGUAACCCGUCUCCCUGGGAAAGUCAAGUUGUCAGAUCUGAAGAAAAAAAUGAAGAUAGUUGGAAAGGAAAUCCCCAUCCUAUGGGAGAAGAUGGUCCUAAAGAUUCGCAUAUGAAAAAAGAGGUAACUCGUAGUUUUAAUCUGGAUAGAUCUGGCUGUGCUUUUUGUCACUUCAAAAAUCAUCUUACUAAGGAUUGUCGACAUCGCUUUCCUUGUGACAUUUGUGGUUGUGAUGAUCAUAUUGUGUUUGAUUGCAAAAAAUGCUUGCCUUGGAAUUUUGGUCCGGAACUUUGUGCGACACAAGUUGAGGAUCAGAGUUUUUUUCUAUAUUGAAGAAAAAGUGGAUACUAGGAUGAUUAAAGAAAAAUCCAGCACUGCUAUUAUCACUGUUGUUCAAGGGAAUGUUAGUGAAAAACAAAUUGAAUUGGAAUUCAUGAACAUGUUAGGCAAGAAUUUGUGGCGGUGGUCUGCUAGAUCUGUGGGAGACAAUAAGUUUGUUAUGAGAUUUCUAGAUCCUAAAAUGAUAGGGGAUCUUGGAUAUUUUAGACCUUUGGGCAUGAAAACAGCGAAAGCUCAGAUUACUAUUGAUCCUUGGACACCUGCUGUCAACGCUAAAGGUUGCUUGCAAAAAGGAUGGUUCAGAAUCAGUGGCAUUCCUAUGGAACAAAGGUCUCUGGUGACAAUUGCUAAAGUUGGUGGGCUUGUGGGUAAGGUGAUUGAAAUUGAUGAAAGGACUAGACUUAGAAAUGAAUAUGUGAGAGCUAGAAUUGCUUGCAGGGAUGUCACGACUGUUCCCGGUGUUGUGGAAGGCUCCCUUGGAUUGUUUUUAUAUGAUUUUUUCUUUGAAAGGGAAAUACACUCGGAAGAGGAUGAACAAUUUCUUGAGACUGGGAUUAGAGUUGAUGACUCUAACCAGAAAGCUGCAAAAAGAUCCAAGUAUGAAGGUAAAAUGGAGAAAGAUAAGAAAGUGGAUUAUGGGAAUCUGGAGGAUGGAAAUAUUAAACAACAUGAUGAGUGUAGCAGAAAAUCUUAAAGUUAUACUUAUCAAAUGCAAGGGCUUGACAAGAAUGUAAGCAAAGAAAAAAAUGUUGGAACUGAAGAAGGUAAAACUGGUAAAUCUUAUUCCAGUUGUUCUGGUGAAGAGAAAAACAAAGUGCACAUAACUGAUAGUGAGGAGGAUGAUGACAGUGAUCUUCUGGGAGAAGAACUUAUGGCUAUGAAAAAUCGUGGAUCUGGAUCAAACAGUCAUACUAUGUGGAAUACACAGUCUGACCCAGUUGACAACCUGAAUUCUAGGAGUAUAAAUCAUAUUAAAUCUUCUAAAUGCUCUGUCAUUCUUGAAGAACUUGAUACCAAUGAGAAAGGAGUUGAUAAUUCUGAAGAACUUUAAAAUAGCAUGGUAAGAAAAGAAAAACAUGACUAUAAUCGUAAACAUACCAUACCUACAGCUGUCAGCAGAAAACUAAGGACUAAUAUCAACUACCGCAUAAGUUUAAGCAUAUAACAGAAACACAGAUAUAAGUGACAAUGAAUUGCCUCCUGUGAUCUACUGUAGUCCAAAACUACUAUUUGUUAGUUGGUAGGAGGUUUAUAUUUAAUUUGCUUAAAAU